rnacentral:rRNA from 1 species
GAUUUCUGGCUUGUUCAACAUUUAGCCGGCCGCGGUUUCGCGUGUCAGUGUUAGAUGUUCUGGCCAUCCUUCCAAUCGCUAUACGUGUUGGUCUUCAUUGAUCAGCGCGUCGUAGUAUUGGAUCUUUUACUUUGAAAAAAUUAGAGUGUUUCAAGCAGGCUUUAUGCUAUGAAUACAUUAGCAUGGAAUAAUAAUUUAGGACUUCGGUUCUAUUUUGUUGGUUUCUAGGACUGAAGUAAUGAUUGAUAGGGACAGUUGGGGGUGCUAGUAUUCAGCGGCCAGAGGUGAAAUUCUCGGAUUCGCUGAAGACUAACUUAUGCGAAAGCAUU